AUAACGGUCCUAAGGUAGCGAAAUUCCUUGUCGGGUAAGUUCCGACCUGCACGAAUGGUGUAACCAUGGCCAUGCUGUCUCCACCCGAGACUCAGUGAAAUUGAAAUCGCAGUGAAGAUGCUGUGUACCCGCACCUAGACGGAAAGACCCCGUGAACCUUUACUACAGCUUGGCACUGAACAUUGACCCUACAUGUGUAGGAUAGGUGGGAGGCUUUGAAGCGUUGUCGCCAGAUAGCGUGGAGCCAUCCUUGAAAUACCACCCUUGUAUGUUUGAUGUUCUAACACUGACCCGUUAUCCGGGUUGUGGACAGUGUCUGGUGGGUAGUUUGACUGGGGCGGUCUCCUCCCAAAUAGUAACGGAGGAGCACGAAGGUUAGCUAAUCACGGUCGGACAUCGUGAGGUUAGUGCAAUGGCAUAAGCUAGCUUAACUGCGAGACAGACACGUCGAGCAGGUACGAAAGUAGGUCAUAGUGAUCCGGUGGUUCUGUAUGGAAGGGCCAUCGCUCAACGGAUAAAAGGUACUCCGGGGAUAACAGGCUGAUACCGCCCAAGAGUUCAUAUCGACGGCGGUGUUUGGCACCUCGAUGUCGGCUCAUCACAUCCUGGGGCUGAAGCCGGUCCCAAGGGUAUGGCUGUUCGCCAUUUAAAGUGGUACGCGAGCUGGGUUUAGAACGUCGUGAGACAGUUCGGUCCAUAUCCGGUGUAGGCGUUAGAGUAUUGAGAGGAUCUCUUCUUAGUACGAGAGGACCGGAAGAGACGUACCUCUGGUGUACCAGUUAUUGUGCCAAUGGUAAACGCUGGGUAGCCAUGUACGGUAAGGAUAACCGCUGAAAGCAUCUAAGUGGGAAGCCCACCUCAAGAUGAGUACUCUUACCACAAAAAGUGGUUAAGGUCACAGUAAGACUAACUGUUUGAUAGGUAUCAGGUGUAAGCGUAGUAAUAUGUUAAGCCAAGAUAUACUAAUAGACCGAAUGCUUGA
rnacentral:rRNA from 1 species